rnacentral:rRNA from 1 species
AGAAUGAACGCUGGCGGCGUGCUUAACACAUGCAAGUCGAACGGGACUGUGGGGGCAACUCUGCAGUCUAGUGGCGGACGGGUGAGUAACACGUGGGUAACCUGCCCGGAAGUGGGGAAUACCUCGGGGAAACUCGAGCUAAUACCGCAUAACAUCUUUGGGACGAAAGUUCCGACGAUCAAAGCGGGGUCGCAAGAUCUCGCGCUACCGGAUGGGCCCGCGCCCGAUUAGCUAGUUGGUGGGGUAACGGCUCACCAAGGCUUCGAUCGGUAACCGGCCUGAGAGGGCGAUCGGUCACACCGGAACUGAGACACGGUCCGGACUCCUACGGGAGGCAGCAGUGGGGAAUCUUGCGCAAUGGGCGAAAGCCUGACGCAGCAACGCCGCGUGGAGGAUGAAGGCCCUUGGGUUGUAAACUCCUGUCGGCUGGGAGAAAUCGUUCGGGGCUAAUACCUCCGGACGUUGACUGUACCAGCAAAGGAGCCCCGGCUAACCCUGUGCCAGCAGCCGC